AAAACAUCUUCUCUUGAGUUAAAUUUGAGAUAGUGCCUGCCCAAUGAUUUAUUUAAUGGCCGCGGUAUUUUGACCGUGCAAAGGUAGCAUAAUCAUUAGUUUAAUAAUUUUAAGCUUGUAUGAAUGGUAUGACGAAACAUUAACUGUCUCUUUAUAAUUUAUAUAAAUUAAAUUUUGAGUUAAAAUGCUUAAAUUUUAUUAUUGGACGAGAAGACCCUAUAGAUCUUGAUUAUUUUAUAUUUAAUUUAUUUUAGUUUAUUAGUUUAUUAAAUAUUAUUUAAUUUUGUUGGGGUGACAUGGAGAUAUAUUUAACUCAUUAUAUUAGAUACCAUUGAUUUAUGAUUAUUUGACCUUAUUAUAUUGUUAAAAGAUUUAGAUACCUUAGGGAUAACAGCGUAAUUUUAUUUGAGAGUUCUUAUUGACAAUAAAGAUUGCGACCUCGAUGUUGGAUUAAGAUAAUAUUUUGGUGUAGUAGUUAAAAUAAUAGGUCUGUUCGACCUUUAAAUUCUUACA
rnacentral:rRNA from 1 species